rnacentral:lncRNA from 1 species
UGUGGUUGGAGUCAAAGUGCAAUUAGCAAUUGGGAGAGGAAUCCUUGCAAUACAUGUUCCUGACAGAAGACUUGUAUUGGUGGACACUGCAGCAUUAAUAAUGCCUUGACUAUUUGUGGACACUUGAGCAAUCGUUGUGUUGCCACAAAUAAUCGUUACAUUUGCUCCACUCACUCCGACGCCUGGGGCAUUACUUCCCGGUACGGAGCAAGACAAACUCCCAAUAUAGUUAAAUUAAUAUUCGUUGGUAUAAUCGGUGGUACUUGACCACCAACAGGUGGUACAAUCGGUGGUAUACUAAUGGGUGGUACAAUCGGUGGUAUAUUAAUGGGUGGUACAAUGGGUUGGCCAAGAAUAGGACCAACAAUUGGACUGAGAAUAGAACCAACAAUCGGUAAUUGACCAAGACCAACAUGUGCUACUUGACCGACGGGUGGUACAAUACGUGGUGCAGGUUGCCCCAAAAUGGAACCCACAAGGGGAAUGGGACCCAAAAUGGGACGAAUAAUGGGACCAAUGUUAAUAGGCAAUUGAGCAUGGGCUAGAGGACUGGUGGUGAUGAUGGAAAGUAGAAUAAAAAGGGAAACAACACACAUUUUUGAAGACAUGACGAUUUGAUAAUUUUUAUUCUGUUCAAUAUACCCUUUAUAUAGUGCUCCUUUUUAUUUACUCCACCCCUACCAUAACUUACCCCACCCCCAACCUAUAUAAAUGAUUAAAUAUAUUAUCUUUCAUCCCUAAAUAAGACUUACAAAUAUCUCACAUAUAUCAUCAUUAGUUAGGUUGAAACUCAUCAACUUGAACAACAUUGGGACCAUACAAAUUAAUUAAUUCAAUAUCAUUUGACUUGUCAUAAGAAGAAAUUUUUUUUGUAAGUUGAGGCCAAAAGGCCUUUGGUUUGCCCAUAGGAUCUAUUUUGAUGGAAUAAAUAACUCCACUUGGUUUGGGUGUCAAAAAAAAAAACAAUAAAAAUAACAACAACAAAAGAAGAUUUUUGAAAAUAGUUGUGUGAUUGUUAAUCACUUCAUUAAAAAAAAAUUAAUGUUAUAUCAUGUUUUUAAUUAUAAUAAACUACACUAUAUAAUAAUAACAACAAUAACAAUAACAACAACAACAACAACAACAACAACAACAAUAAUAAUAAUAAUAAUAAUAAUAAUAAUCAAGGGCAAAAAGCUAAUCUACUUGGUCAACAUAAAAUGACUUUUAAGUUUUUAUAAAAAAAGAACCCCUCACCUAUCUUUUAGAUUUUGGCAUAAAAUAAGUCAUUUUGGACUUAAAAUAAGUCACUUUGAUAAUUGUCAAACACUCAAAUAAAUCAAAAACUGAAUUUUAAAUCAGUUUGACCAGCUUUUAAGCCCAUUCCAAUAGGCUCUAAGUGUGUAAAUGACUUUUCUAUACAAGUUCAAGAUGAAAUUUAUGUCUUUUUCCAUUUGAAAUACCAUCACAAUACUUUAUUUCUCACGCCAUGUAUUCAUGAUAUAAUAAAAGAUAUAUAUAUUAAAUAUUGAAUAAGAAAUUUAUGGGUGCCUCAACUAUGUUAAAAAAAGACAUAUGUCUUAGGUCCCCCUAAUUUAAGGGGCCUCAUUUUUAAUAAUAAUAGGUUAUAAGUUAUUGUUUUUAAACAAAUAUUGAAUACUAUUUGUAGAAAAAGUAAAUUUUUUCAUGAAAAAUAAAGAAAUUAUAGAAGAAAUUUGACAUGUUUGAAGUAAUAUAUCUCAUGAAAAAUAAUUUAAAAUAAGAAUGAUUAUAUUAUCAAUUUAAAACUACAAGAAAUCAAUUAUAUAAAGUUAUUGACGAUUCAAGUUUAAUGAUCUAUUUAAUUUUUAUUUUAGGCCGUUAAUAUGCUUAAGCCGCUUCUAAAGAAAUUUUGGUAUUUUUUCAAAGAAUGAUGUAACAUAAAAGUUAUAAUAUAAUAUGUAUUUUACUUUAUCAGAAAAUAUCAAGAGAAUGUGGGAUGAACGCAUGAGUUAAUUUGACAAAGUUUAACCAUUCAUUACAAUAUUACUAAAAAUAAGGGAAAAGGGUCUAAUAUACCCUCAACUUUGUCAUUUGGAGCUAAUAUAUCCAUCGUUAUAAAAGUGGCUCAUAUAUGCCCUUACCGUUAUACAAACGGCUCACAUAUAUUCCUCACGUUACAAAAUGGCUCAUAUAUACCCUUUAUUUAACGGGAGUUAAAAACUUAGUUUUAAAUUUAUAUUUAUUACUUGUAAUUUUUUAAAAAAAAAUUAUUUAGGGGUAUAUAUGAUUCUUCUAUCAAAGUUCAAGGUAUAUUUUAAUUUUUUUCAUAUAUAAAUUAUUUUUUGACUUUUUUUAUUAUAAUUAUUUGAGUUUCUUAUUCUUAUGUUUUUUCUUUCAUUCCUUAGUUUAAAGAAAACAAAUUUAAACUAUUUUUUUUGUGUGUAUUGUAAUUUAAUUUCGUAUUUGAAGAAAAAAUUUGGUCACCUACAAUAAGUUUUACAAGAAUAUUAGUGAAACAUAAAUAAAUAUGAUUAUCAAAAUAAUAAUUAUAAAUUAGUCAUUGAAACAAAAAAAGGUCAAAAAAAAUAUGUUUGACGAGGAUUAAAUUUACUUAUAUGGAAUUAUAUUUUUUAGAAAAAAAUAAUAAAAAUUUAGAUUAAAAUUAUUAUUUUUUCCAUUUCCGAUAGAGGAAAAGGGUAUAUGUGAGUCAUUUCUUUACAAGUAGGGGUAUAUAUGAGCCACUUUCAUAACAAAGGGUAUAUCAACUCUAAGUGACAAAGUUGAGGGGUAUAUCAGACCAUUUUCCCUAAAAAUAAUAAUCUAUCUUAUUUAAUGGCUCAAUAAGUGAAUGAAAAGACGUGUUAAAAUUAAUGUAAUUAAGUAUUUUACUUUUACAAAUUAUGACUUACCCGACCUAACUUAGUACCAUAAGCUAAUAGCUUUCUCUACUAUAGCUUGCCAAACUAUAUAUGCUUUGAAGACCUUUACUAUUAAAAUAAAUUAUCAUAAGAUAAGGUGAACAAAUAUGUAAUGCUUCCGAUAGGGGCUAUUAACUAAUGAAAUACCUCAAAUAUUUGUAUAUUUUUACAAACAUAAGGGUUGUCCUACUUUCUUUAGAAUAAGUUGAUAAUAUAUUAGAUUGAUAGACCCCCUUCCUUUUGAACUGCUAAUUUUUAUUUGUCCAACAGAUAAAAAUAUCUUUUGAAAAAUAACACCAAAUUAGUUUAUUGUUCUUAUCAUAUAUUAUUUUUAUUUGUAUGGAUGUGAAUACAUGCAUGGGCCAUGGCCUGAUAAAUCUUGUUCGUCUUCAAAUUAAGCAUAGUUGGGCAAGCUAUACUAUAACACUAAAUCAAAAUUCACAUUUAGCGAUAUCUAAUUAAUGGUAAGUCGUUAAUAAUUUAAUAUUGUCGUUAAAUAUGUGUUUUUGAAGGUAAUUAGUAGUACUCUUUGUAUAUGUCUAUAGAGUCUGUAGUGAUAUUGAAUAUAAUGACGAUUAAUUAAUGUCGAUAAAGACUUUAAUUAUCAAUCUAUAUUAAUAUGUAUAUUUCUUGCCAUUAAAUGCUAUUUUUAUUUAAAAAACUUACAUAAAUAUACUUAAUUAAAAAAAACACUUACCAUUUAUAGUACUAACGUUUUUUUUUCACUUGAUCAUAAUGAUUAAUAACUUGCAAUAUUUCCUUCACACAACCUGAGUUAGGUUGAAAAUGAUCAACUUGAAAAUUGGGAUCACAAAAAAUAAUGUCGCAUCAUUUGACUUGACACGAUGUUUAACAAAAAAAAGACUUUUUAAAUUAACCCAUCCUUAAAUUGUAAAUCAUUUGUAAAAUAAAAGAAAAUUAAACAUUAAAUAAUUUUUAAAUUAAGUAUGAAAAGUUGUCACUGGUAUCAUAGUUGAAUUUAAAAGCUCAAUGAUCCUUUAUUGUGUUUGAGAGAGGACCUCGGCAUUCACAAAGAAAACUAAACAUUAAAUUAUUAUUUUUAAAUAUGUUGCUAUCAUAUUCUCAUUAAAAAAAAAGAGAAUGCACAAGUACUCCCUCAAUCUAUGUCCGAAAUUAUAGAGACAAACUUAUAUUAUACUAAACUCCUAUUACCCUCUGAACUUAUUUUAUAAGUUUCUCUACCCCUUUUCGACCUACGAGACACUAGUUUGAAAAAAAAAUCAACCAGAGUUGGGCUCACAAGAUAGUGCCACGUAAGUCAAAAAUAGAUAGAAAAUUAUUAAUAAAAUAAGUUUAGAAAAAUAAGAACCCUAUUAUAGUAUAAAAUUAUUAAUAAAAUAAGUUUAGAAAAAUAAGAACCCUAUUAUAGUAUAAAUAUGUCUCUGAAAUUUCACACAUAAAUUGAGGAGAUAUUGCACUUGUUUGUAAUUGAGAUAAUGGUAAUAAACCAAUCACUUCACCAUUUAUAUAUAUUUUUACAAACAUGAGGGUUGUCGUAAUAACUUAAUUACCAUUGAAUAUAUAUUUAAAGACAAUUAGCAAUACUCUUUAUAAAUAUCCCUGAAGACUACAGGGAUAUUGGAUGAAAUGACAAUUAACUAAUGUCAAUAUAGGCUAUAUAUAAUUAUCAACUUUUAUAUAAAUAUGUAUAAUUUUCGCAGCUAAAAGCUAUUUUUAUUUUAGUGCAGAUUACAUAUAUGUAGACCUUAAAUAGACAAAUUAAUCUAAUUGUCCUAAUUUAGGUCGGAUAAGUGAGAAUUUGUUGGAGUAAAAACUUAUAUGAAUUAAAGUAAUUUUAAGGUGUUAAAAUCUCUUUUCAUUCAAUUAUCUGAGCCAUUAAAUAACAUAAAUUAUUGUUUUUAAUAAUAAAAAUUGUUAUAAUGAAUGUGGAAAAAUGCACAAGUACCCCGUCAAUCUAUGCCCGAAAUCUCAGAGACACAUUUAUACUAUACUAAGGUCCUAUUACCCCCCUAAACUUAUUUUAUAAGUAAUUUUCUACCCCCUUUUGGCCUACAUGGCACUAGCUUGAAGAAAAAAGUCAACCAGCGUUGGGCCCACAAGAUAGUGUCACGUAGGCCGAAAAGUUGUCGGUUAGGUAAUUUCUCAAAAAAAUUAUAAUACUUUCAAAUAUAUGAGUAAAGUUGAGUUUAUUAUUGAUUUAUCUUUACUGGACUAAGUGUUUACACUGUUUUACAAGCUUUCCUUAUAUCGCAUGUGUCCUUACUGCUCUAUAUUGAGUUGUUAUUUCAUGAGUUGAGCAGAACCAAUGUAAGUUCAUCCUUACUCCUUUCAAGCCUUUUAGUAGUGUUUAGCAUUCCAAUUCGCACACUCGUACAUUCAAUGUACUGAUGCCAGUUGGCUUGCAUGCAUCGUCUUAUAAUGCAGAAGCAGGUAAUCAGGAUAUGCAGCGCUUCGUUGAUCCAGUUUGAGCUCUAGAGUCAGUGGUGAGCCUCCUUGCAUUCCGGAGGAUCCUUUUAUUGCUAUCUAGUUAGUUCAAUAGAAUGGUGUGGGGUUUGUCCCAACAUUCAUCUCAGUCAGUUUAGAGGCAUCAUAGACUGAUAAUUAGUAGUUAAGUUGUGUCUCUUCAUUUCAGAUUCUAUAUUUGAGACUUAAGUGCAAAUUUGGUCAAGACAGUAUUUAAAGUCAUUUUAUGAGAGCUUUUCCAAUUCUAUAAUUGAGUUAAGUUGAGUCUUCCGCUGAGUUAAGUAAGUCAGGCCAAAAGUUCGCUCGAGGCCAGCAAUAGUCACCAAGUGCUAGUCCCACCCAGAGUAUAGGCUCGAAGCGUGGCAAUAUAUACAUUUCAUAUACGACUUACAUAUUCAGAUAUUUUUGACAUUUUGUUAGAGCGGAAGAGUCUUAACUUACAUAUUUAGGUGAAGUAUUGAUAUUUUGGGAUAUUGGUACUUAUUAUUAUUUUACUUUACUACUUAUUUAUAAGUCUACAACACACGGUAAGCACACACAAGGUGCAAAACAUGUGCUCGAAGUAAAUUUAAUUUGAAUGAGGUUAAUUUGGUCAUUUAUAUAAUACUCAAUGCUUUUUUUACUUGUACAAAAUGAAAAAUUGUUUUUUAUGGACAUCAAAUGACCAAAACUCCAGUAUUCUUUAACUCAAUUGUCAUAUGUUAUAGAACAUUGCAAUUGGUUGAAAAUCAACUUUAAUGUAGUUGCAAUAUAAUUAUUUUUACUUCUUGUCAAAACUGCCCCUAUGCGGCUUAAGCUUAUUUUAUUAACCAUGUGUUAUUACGUGGAGAAAUUAAAGACAUCUUCAGAUGAGUCAUUUUAAGCGGUAUCGACCUAGAUAUAUAUAUAUAUAUAUAUUCUUUUUGUUUUAUUUAUGUCAUUCUUAUUAAAAAUAGGUUAUAUUUAAUAUUUGUCAUUUCAUAAAAGUAAUGCACUAUAUAGUAAUGCUAUUAUGUUUAUUUUACACUUCUAAAUUAUUAAUCUUGAAGUAUAGAAAGCUAAGUAACUAAUUCAUGUUUAUUGGUCAAAUUAAAUAGUCAAAAUAAAUAAAUUCAUGUUUAUUGAUUGAAAACUUGACUUCAAAAAACAGUAAGAAUAGAAUAAAACUUAGCUUAGUUUCGUAAUACACAUGAAAUCUAAAAUAGUGACAUAUAAAUAAGAUUGGAGAGAGUAUAAGUUAAUUCUCUAUUUGUGUCAUACAAAUAGAGAAUUAAGAUAUUUCCUCCAUUACUUUUUAUACGACAUCCUUAUUAUAAAUAGUUAGUCUAUAAUAUUUGUCAAUUCAUAAAAUCAAUGUAUAAAUUAGAGUACGGAGACUUAAGGGUGAAUAAUAUUGACAAAAUUUUCAAAAGGGUAUGUCAAUUUUUUUAAAAAAAAUUAAAACGGUAAAAUCGCUACUAAUGUAGCGAUUUAUUUGGCCAGCAUUAUGACAAAUCGCUGCUCGAGUAGCGAUUUGCACAAUUUUUUUUAAUUUGAAAUCGCUAUCUCAUCUGCGAUUUUUUGUUUUUUUUAAAAGGGAUAAUGCCCAAGUACUCCCUCAACAUAUGCCCGAAAUCUCAGAGACAAACUUAUACUAUACUAAGGUCCUAUUACCCUCCUGAACUUAUUUUAUUAAUAAUUUUUUACCCCUUUUUAGCCUACGUGGCACUAUCUUGUGGGCCCAACGAUGGUUGACUUUUUUUUUCCGAACUAGUGCCACGUAGGCUAAAAAGGGGUAGAAAAUUACAUAUAAAAUAAGUUUCGGGGGGUAAUAGGACCUUAGUAUAGUAUAAGUGUUUCUCUGGGAUUUCGGGCAUAGGUUGAGGGGGUACUUGGGUAUUUUCCCUUUUUCAAAAAAAAGUUUUUUUAUGAUAAAUCGCUGCCAAGGCAACGAUUUUGUUAAUGAUUUUUUUUUAAAUUGUAAAUCGUUGCCCGAGCAACGAUUUUAGUUAAAAAGAUUUUUUUUGUUUUUUGAUGUAAAACGCUGUCAAGGCAGCGAUUUCACUUUAAUUUUUUUUAAUUUUCUUACGUAAAUUGCUGCCAAUUUUGUCAAUUUUUUUAUAGUUUUUUUAAUUGUGUCGUAAAGCGCUGCAAUUGCAGCAAUUUUUUGUUUUUUUUUUAAAAAAAGAUUCAAUAUUGUAAAUUGUCUUUGCACGACUUUAUUGUAGCUAUAAUGAAAUCUACGUAGUACAAAAUUGAAAUUGUAUUUCAUUAAGUAAAAAGAUAGAAGGGUUUAACUAGGGGUGGGCAUAAACAACAGAAAAUCUAAACACCGAAUCGAAUCAAAAUUUUUCAAAAUUUUGGUUUCGAUAUUUCGGUUUUCGGUUCGUUGUUCGGUUUACUUUUUUAUAUUUUUCGGUAUUUCGAUUCGAUUUUCGGUAUGUAUUAUAUUGGUUUUUGGUAUUUCGGUUUAAAUCGAAAUAUUAUACUAUAAUUUAUAUUAUAUUAAUUAAUAAUUAUUAAUAUUAAAUAAUUUUUUAAAAAAAGAAACCCUAUGGUCCUAUUCCUCUCUCUUUCAUCUUUCUCCUAAUUUUCUCUUGGUCUUUCAUCUUCCUCUUGGCUCUUUCCUCUUCCUCUUCUUCAUCUUCCUCUUCUCCUCUUCCGCCAGCCAGAAGCAGCUGCUGCAGCCGCGCCGUCCGCCAGAAGCAGCAGUAGCAGCCGUGCUGUCUGCCAGAAGCAGCAGCAGCAGCAGCCGCGCCGUCUGCCAUCAAGCAGCCAGCAGCCGCGUCGUCUGCCAUCAAGCAGCCAGCAGCCGCGCCGUCCGCCAUCAAGCAGCCAGCAGCCGCGCCGUCUGCCAUCAAGCAGCCAGCACAUCGCGCCGUCUCAGCCAGUCAGGUUUGGAUUUUGUUAUUUUUUUUUGUUCUUGACUUCUUUCGUUUUUUUCUUUCUGAUUUUAUUUUUGCUACUAGUUAUUGUGAAUUUAGUGUGAAUUUUUUUAUAUAUAUAGAUGGUUGAACAAAAACAAUUAAAUAUGGUUGUAGCUGAGCAAAGUCGAAUAAGUAUGGCUGAUUUUACGGAUAAUACACUUAGUAAUAGCAAUGAUCCGUCAAUUGGCACAGAAAUAACAAAAAAAAAAGAAAUGGAUCCUAGAUCUACUGUUUGGCAACACAUUGUAAAGGUUUUUGAAAAUGGUGUAUUAGUUAAAGCAAAGUGCUUAUAUUGUAAACAAUACUAUGCUGCCAAUACAACAAGAAAUGGAACAAGUGGACUAAAACAACAUUUGACUUAUCGGUGUAAAGUGUAUAAACCUCCGACUGUUGCACCGGUAUUCAAAAAUUAUUACAUAUUCAAAAUAACAAUUUAGAGACUUGGAAAUUUGAGCAAGAGGUAUGUAGGAGAGCUUUAGUUGAGAUGAUUAUUUUGGAUGAACUACCUUUUAGUUUUGUUGAAAAAGAAGGUUUUAAGAAGUUUAUGAGUAAAGUCCAGCCUUUGUUUCAUAUUCCUUCUCGUAGAAACAUAACAAGGGAUUGUUAUGAAGUUUAUGGUGAAUUGAGAAUAAAUUUGAAACAAUCUUUAAGAGAAAUACAACCAAGAAUUUGUCUCACAACAGACACAUGGACUUCAGUGCAAAGAAUCAAUUAUAUGUGUUUGACUGCUCACUUUAUUGAUAGGGAUUGGGUGCUUCAUAAAAGAAUAUUGAAUUUUUGUCCUAUCACUAGUCAUAAAGGUGAGCAUUUUUGGCUGAGUCUAUUAGUAAUUGUUUACUUGAUUGGAAGUUGGAUAACUUUUUUACUGUUACGGUUGAUAAUGCCUCUUCAAAUGAUGUGGCAGUUUUAGAGUUGUUCAAAAAAUUAGAUAUGUGGGAAACUAAUUUGAUAGAAGAUAAGCAUUUCCAUGUGAGAUGUAUGACUCAUAUACUUAAUCUAAUUGUGCAAGAUGGUUUGAAUGAAAUUAGUCCUUCUAUCAAAGGGUGAGACAAAUGGUGAAAUAUUUUAGAUCAUCUUCUUCGAGGACAAGAAAUUUCUUGAAAUGUGUUGAAAUGCAAAAGAUAGAAUGUGAUAAGUUGUUGUCUUUAGAUGUGCCUACUAGGUGGAAUUCCACCUAUUUGAUGUUAAACACAGCAGAAAAGUGUGAGAAGGCUUUUAGAGGUUUGAUCUUUACGAUGGUAAUUUUAAUUCUUUUCUUGCUACUAAUGUUUGUGAAGAUGGAAGUAUCGCAGGGUCAAAAUAAUAUGAAGAUUGGGCUAAUGUGAGGAAUGUCACAAAGUUUCUUGAAAAAUUUUAUGAACUCACUUUGAAAGUUUCAGGUUCACGGUAUGUUACUUGUAAUGUUCAUUUUGAAGAUAUAUGUGCACUUGAUGCUUAUUUGAAAUUAUGUAUAGCAAGUGAUGACCUUGAUUUGAGUAAAAUGACUUUGGGAAUGAAAGAAAAAUUCAAGAAAUAUUGGGGUACUCCUGAAAGAAUGAACAAAAUAAUUUUUAUUGCUUAUGUUUUGAAUUCUCACAAUAAAUUUGUGUAUGUUAGUUUUGCUCUUGAAGAAUUACUUGGAAAACGGAAAAUGUAGUGAAUACGAAAGUAGAGUCUUACUUGAGGGAUUUGUUUGCGAUAUAUGUAAGUGAGUAUGGAAAAGGUUCCAAAAGUCAACCAUCUUCAUCUGACUCAUCUGAUUCUUCUGCUUGUGGUAUUUCUCAAAAUGUGUCCAAAAAUUCUUUGAGAACUAAGUUGCACAUGAAAAACAAAAGAAUGAUUCUGGAAGUUUAGGUGUUAAAUCCGAGUUGGAUAAAUAUCUUCUUGAAGACCAAGAACCUGAAUCUGGAGAUUUUGAUAUUUUGAGUUGGUGGAAAGUUAAUUCUCCUAGAUUUUCUGUACUUUCACAGUUGGCUCGAGAUGUAUUGGUUAUUCCUAUGUCGAGUGUGGCAUCGGAGUGUGCAAUUAGCACUGGUGGUCGAAUUCUAGAUCCCUUUAGAAGUUCAUUGACUCUCAAAUGUGUGCAAUGUCUUAUUUGUGUCCAAGAUUGGCUUAGACAAGAAACCAAGCCUAUUUGUGUUGAAGAAAGUUUGGAGUUUCUUGAAAAAAUUGAACUUGGUAAGAUUUUUUAUUUCUUAUUUAUUUUUUUAAAAAAUAAAAUACUUGUUGUGUUCUAUCUUGUAUGACAUGUUUAUUUUUCUUAAUUAUAGAGAUGACAAAUAGUGGAAGAAACUCUUCCAUUGUUGAUCUAUGAUUGACUUGCAAGCGUUGAGUUUAAUACAUCAUUUAUUUAAUCAUAUCAUUUUUAAUCUUAAAAGUAGUAUUCUAAGUUUCUAAUAUUUGAUUUUAUCUUAAAAGUUCCAAGGGUCAAGACAAUGAAGAAAUAAUUUUGUUGACAUGGAAGAAAGUCAAGAAACUCAUUAUUGUUGUUUGUUAUUGUUGACAUUUGAAUUGAAAGUAAUCUCAUGGAAGAAGACAAGAAGUUUAAAAUACAUUGUUUGUUUCUUAUUAUUGUUUAUUAUGAGCUCAUGAAAGACUUUAAUGUUACUUGUUAGAUUGUUAUUAUGUUGUAUUUGUGAAGACAUUAACUACAAAUCUACAAUGCAACUUUUGUUUUAGUUUCAUUGUUAAUUAAAAAUUGUGUGUUUUAGUGAUAUUGUGAAUUUAAAAUUUGUGGUGUUAAUGCCUAAUGGCAUAUUGACAUAUUGAUAUUUGGUAGUAAAUUAGUAAUGCACUUCUUUGAUGUAUUGUCUAUUUUUACUUUUUAGCCCAUUAAGUUGAAAAAUCAAACAAAUAAAUUGUAAAGUUUAAAAUUUUAAAAAGCCCACUAAGCAGGCCCAUUAAAAAACCAAUAUAAAAAAAAUCGAAUUAAUAAAAACCGAACCGAAUUAACAAAAAUCGAACCGAACCGAAAUGUUUCGAUUUGAUAUUCGGUACACAAUUUACAAAAACCGAAAACCAAAAAAUAAACCCGAUACCAAACUGAAAUACCAAAUGCCCACCCUUAGAUUUAACAACAAAACAAACUAAUUAAAUUUUAGCUUACAACCCUGAAAUACUACUAAUAAUAAUGAUAGUAAUAAUAAUAAUAAAACACUACUACGACAAGAAUCAUGAACUACAUACAUAAUAAGAAAGAAUAGACAAACAAAAAUUUGGAUACAACCUUGAAAUAACUAGAUAAUAGAAAUUUGGAUAUUCAUUAAACUAUAUAUAGUGAAUAUUCUGAUACUAUAUUGCCUAAUUCUCGUUUCUAGGUACAUCAUCUAUGACAAACACGCCUAUUGAAACCCUUCGUGGAGGCGUAUAUCGGUGCUCAAUCCUUUUAUAACGAGGCGUAUAUAAAUGCUAAACUGCAAUGUUAAGAAAUAUAUGAUGACCUUUUUCCUUUAUUUCUUUUUGUGUUAAUACUAGAACUAGAAUAGAUCAAUUGAUGUUCAUAACAAAUUCUAACACCUCACUCAUAAUGAAAUUGAUCAUAAUUUAAAGUACUAAAUCAUGCUAAAAUAAGUUAAGUAAGUAUUAGUUACAUGACUAAAUAUUAAAAGAAAAGAAAAUUAGAUCAUGUAUUUUUAAUGUCUAAAUCUAUGUAAAACUAAAAAAUAAAUAUUCGAUAUUAUUGUCAUUCUUAGUGUUGAAUUGAUUUGCUUUUUGAAUUAUUAUUAAUUUGAUUUUUAUUUAAACUUUAUUAUAAUUACCAACAUGUAUGGACUAGAAUCUUUAUUUGAUUAUUAAGAAUUCUAACUUCCAAACAUGAAAUAAAUAUAGUAAAAGAUAAAAACUGUGAAAAAGUAUAAGAGAUAUUUAAAAACUUACAUCAAAGUAAGAUUUUUACGUAUAAAAUAAAAAUUUUAAAUUAUAUAUAUAAUGUCGGGUUGGUUUGGUCUCGGGUUGGUUUAUUUUAGUUGAAAUCAACCCAACCCAAAUAUAGUCGGAUUUUUUUUUCCAACACCAAAUCAAGUCAAACCAAACCACUAGUCAGGGUUUUUUUUAUUUGACUAGAUUUGCGGUUUAGUUUAAUUUUCGAUUCGUUUUUAUACACUCGAUUUGCGAUUUAGUUCGAUUUUGACUUUUGUAGAUAAAAUCUGCAAAAAGAAAUAUGGAUAGAUUUCUCAAAGUUGGAAGGAAAAAAUAUUUUCAAACCAAAACAGUGCUUAGGGGUAGAACUUUUCAUCUUGAUAUUCUAUCAAUGGACAUAGUCAAGCAGGUUUGUGAGUUACUACGGUUUCAGGGGUGGGAGGAACUAUUUCUUGAACCUAAUCUUAUUUAUGAACAAGAAGUAGUAGUUUUUUACACAAAUUUAACAAUCUUGGAAGGGGAUGUAGUAUCUUCUAGUGUGAAGGGAGUUGAGAUUGUUUUUGAUGCAACUAAGCUUGGGGAAAUUUUACAUAUACCAUUUGUGGGUAUUAAUGAUUAUCAUUGGGCUUUUGAUGAACAUUUUAGUCUUCCAGCUAAGUUUUCUCAAGGUAGAGUCAAUUCUAGGGCACAGACUGUGUUAAAAGGUAUCAUGGGAUCAGUUCAUAAGCUUCUCUUUGAGAUAAUACAUAAGGGAAUACUGCCCAGGCGUCACCAACGUCACAUUGCUUCUAUAAAGACAUGGGACUUAUGAAUGCUCUUGAAUGUAAAGAACGUAUUGACUGGCCCACAUUGAUCAUCAAACACUUUGCUAGAAUUGUUGAUCCUAAACUAGGUUCUCAUCAAUUACCAUUUGGGAAUCUUUUAACUAGACUGUUUGAUGCGUUUGAAGUACCAUUGGGAGAAGGAAGGGUUUUGACUCGUGCAGAUAUGUUUACUCAAACCAUUCUUGCUGAUUGUGGCAUUCCCAUGGAAUCAGAGCAAGUUGUUAAUGUUUCUCCACGUACAUCUGGUCCUGUUGCUCAAUUACUCAGGGAACUCAAAGUGGAAGAAGAAAAGUAUGUCACCCUUGAAUUGGAAAACCAAAAUUUACGUGCUGAACUUCAUACUUCAAAUGCUGAGAUUCACAGGUUGAAAGAUCAGUUGGUGCAGAAGCAGCUUGCUAACAAUGCAAGGGUUGACAGAGUUCUGGACAUGCUUGCUUUUGCCUCCACCAAGCCUAGUCAAUAUUCAACUUGAAAAGCAUCAUGUUUGCACCUGGUUCUUUUUACUCUGUGUUGAUAUUCCUCUUUGUGUUUCCAGAACACUUUAUUUUGCUCAACUGGCUGAGCUUCACUUGUUUCUGUGGAUGUUAUCUUAUUUUGUUUAGCUAAUAUUGGACUCUUUUUGAUUUGUCAAAAGGGGGAAGAUUAUUAUAAGUGCAUUACACAGGUUUGUCUUCAUCAAAAAGGGAAAAUAUGUUAGAAUCUGAUAAUUCUAUAAACAGAUAAAAUUAAAGUUUUGAUAAUAGACAAGAAAUGCAAAUAUAUGGAUAAAAAGGUUUGCCAGAUUCAUCGCCAAAUUUGUCGCAACAAGAAGCCACCUGAACUAAUUAUAGCAGUCACUAGAAGUAUACAAUUAAGUGUACAAGAGCUAAAGAUGCUGAAAAUUCAAGUUGAGACAAAUAAGGAAUCCUUAAUACAUUAAGUAAGGAAGUUGUAUAGAAAAAGGAUUGUACAAUAAAAGGUAAAAUCAGUACUCCUUGUUUAACUAUAAUUACAAUUUCCUUACCUUAUUUGAUAAGGAUUCAAGGCACGAGAAGGCAGGAGAAAACUCUAUAAAUAGAGAUCAACAACAGAAGAAGAGGACACGACUUUUACAUAGAGAGAAAAGCGAGAGUUAUUCAUCAAGUAAAAGCCUUCCAAGAUCGAUAGGUCUUGCUAAGUUCAAAGAAGUUCUUGAGUUAGAAAGUCUUGAACGUGUAAAACUAUUUUCUUGAUUCAUUGUUGAGUUGUUAGUUACGUUUUCGUACAAGAAGUGGGUUUGGCUUCUUGUAGAGUUGAGCUUUGGUGAGGUUUGUAACAAAAGGUGGGUUUGGCCUUUUGAGAGUAGAAGUAGUCGAUUAUAGUUAAUCGAGAGUUGUUGUAGUGGUGAGGUUAUUGAUUAUUGAGUUGUAAUCAUAAAAUCAUCCAGUUGAAUUAAUAAAACGAGGUUUUUCCUUCCUUGAUUGAGGAAGGUUUUUAAUUUAACAAGUGUUUGUGUUCUGACUUAAACCAACUUACAAGAACUAGUUCUUAUUCUAGGGGAUAGGUUUCUUCACUUGACAAUCAUGCGCAAUUUUUUAUUUUGGUUGACUAUAAGCGGAAUGCUAACUCAAGCAUAUGUAAACAUCCAAUUGAAAGAAAUGUUUAAAAAUAAUUUUCUGAAUAUCAAAAUUUUUCUGAAUAUAAUGAGUAUGAAACAUUUAAAUAAAAUAUCUGAAAUUGAAAAACUCUCCAAAAUUUUCUAUCUAUGAAGCCUCUACAGUACAAAGGUGAGUGUCGGAACAAGAUCAACGACUACACAAAAAACUAUUACUAACAAGUCAUACGUUCUUAAUUAGUAAGUUAUAUAUACGUUAUUUCAAUAAUACUUUCGAUAUUAUGAAAAUAUAAUGUCAAUCUUUAAAGACAAACAUUUACAUACCAUGAGAACGACUUUUAUUAUUAUUAUUUUUAUUAUACGUUCUUUUCUCACUUGGGAUAUAAAUAUGCAUUUUUUCAUAUCAACCAAAAAAUUUGAUAUAAUAAAUUUAAUUUUUACUAUGUCAAAAAGUAUUAAGAAAAAGUGUCACAAUCUAAAAUUUCAAAUUAUGAUAGGCAUUUACUAACAUCAUGCCAACAGAUAAGCCGAACUUAUACACAAUCUAAAUUUCAAAUUAUGAUGGCUGGCAUCUACUAACAUCUUGCCAAUAGAAAAGCUGAACUUUAAAUAUAUGUUAAAGAGAAAAGACAUUAAGAGACAGUUGAAGUUGUUUUGAAUUUUUAAAAAUAUAUUUUAACUAUGUAGAUAUCUUAUUAUUUCCUAAACUAUUUUGAAUAUAUAUUAUUACAUCAUUUUUGAAUCAGUUCUAGAUUUUAAAUGACAAGUGUAAUCACAUAUCAAUCAUUGUGUGACACGUGUUAAUUCAAUUUGAAAUAUUACUUCUUUUCAUUUUAAGUUUUCUUUAUCUUACUUUUUGACUUAUUUUAGUUUUAUUAUUUUUAUUUGGGAUAAUGCACAAGUACCCCCUCAACCUAUGCCCGAAAUAUCAGAGACACACUUAUACUAUACUAAGGUCCUAUUACCCCCCUGAACUUAUUUUAUUAAUAAUUUUCUAUCCCUUUUUGGCCUACGUGUCACUAUUUUGUGAGCCCAACGCUGGUUGAUUUUUUGACUUUUGUGAUCUGUAGUAAGAAAGUCUUUUUUCCAUUAAACUUAUUUAUUUUAUUGUAUUUUUGUAGGAAAGAAGGGGACCUUAUAUAAUUUUUUGAUUUAGAGUUUGUUGUAUCUUUGUUAAAAAAGUGGGUUCCUAUUAUCAUAUAAAUAUGCAUUGCUUUAUAAUGAGUGAACUAUAAAUUGUAAUAAAUUAUAAAGUUGAAGAGUAUAUCAAGACUUUUUAUGGACUUUGGUAUUUAGAGAUUUUGUUAAUUAAAGUAGAGGAGUCGUAUAUAUAGGUGAAUAUUGAUAUGUUGCAUGCAACAUGUGUUAUUUAUUUUAAUGUAUGUAUGUAUUAUUGAGUAGUUAAACGUGUUGGGAGCCAUUUUUUCUUGCGUGCAUAUAUGCAUUUCAUGACAUAUAUAAUAAUAAUAAUAAGAAGAAGGCAGAAAUGAAUUGAAAAUAAAGGAAGUAGUUAAAAUAUUAUCCAAUCUCACCAUUUAUUUAUUAUAAAAUAUUAGAUACGAUACAUAAUUAAUUAAGAGAUGGAUGAGGUUUUUUUUUGUAUAUAUAUACUCACUUCAUUUAUUUAGGUGUGUGUGAGUGAGUGAUGAUGGAGUAGUCCUAGGUAAUAGUAACGGUUGCUAGAGAUGUAAGUAUCCCCAAACUUGCUGCCAAAGUUUGACCCACCGCAUCCUGAAGUAAGUUUCCAAUAAGGAUAACGGGAGCUACAAGGUUUCCUGUGGUUGGAGUCAAAGUGCAAUUAGCAAUUGGGAGAGGAAUCCUUGCAAUACAUGUUCCUGACAGAAGACUUGUAUUGGUGGACACUGCAGCAUUAAUAAUGCCUUGACUAUUUGCGGACACUUGAGCAAUCGUUGUGUUGCCACAAAUAAUCGUUACAUUUGCUCCAUUCACUCCGACGCCUGGGGCAUUACUUCCUGGUACGGAGCAAGACAAACUCCCCAAUAUAGUUAAAUUAAUAUUCGUUGGUAUAAUCGGUGGUACUUGACCACCAACAGGUGGUACAAUCGGUGGUAUACUAAUGGGUGGUACAAUCGGUGGUAUAUUAAUGGGUGGUACAAUGGGUUGGCCAAGAAUAGGACCAACAAUUGGACUGAGAAUAGAACCAACAAUCGGUAAUUGGCCAAGACCAACAGGUGGCACUUGACCAACGGGUGGUACAAUACGUGGUGGUGCAGGUUGACCCAAUAGGGGAUGCAAUAGAGUACCCACAAAGGGAAUGGGACCCAAAAUGGGACGAACAAUGGGACCAAGGUUAAUAGGCAAUUGAGCAUGGGCUAGAGGACUGGUGGUGAUGAUGGAAAGUAGAAUAACAAGGGAAACAACACACAUUUUUGAAGACAUGAUGAUUUGAUAAUUUUUAUUCUGUUCAAUAUACCCUUUAUAUAGUGCUCCUUUUUAUUUACUCCACCCCUACCUUAACUUACCCCACCCCCCAACCUAUAUAAAUGAUUAAAUAUAUUAUCUUUCAUCCCUAAAUAAGACUUACAAAUAUCUCACAUAUAUCAUCAUUAGUUAGGUUGAAACUCAUCAACUUGAACAACAUUGGGACCAUACAAAUUAAUUAAUUCAAUAUCAUUUGACUUGUCAUAAGAAGAAAUUUUUUUUGUAAGCUGAGGCCAAAAGGCCUUUGGUUUGCCCAUAGGACUCCCUUUUUCUUUUCUUCUACCAUUAUUUUUAAAGUAAUUAAAAGUUGAAGAUUUAAAACAAAUACCAUAAAUUUAUAUUUUUUUAAUUAUUAAAGUAAUUUACACAAUUUAUUUAUUUUUAUUUAUUUUAAAUAUAACCUUUUAAAAUUGGUGUUAAAUCUUUAUAUUUUGGUAAAAAAUUAGGUGUUCACAGUGUGAUUGUUAAUCACUUCAUUAAAAAUUAAAAAAGUUUAAGUAGAAUUUAGAUAAAAAAAAAAUAAGUAAUGUCUACUAAUUAUCUUGAAAUCUAAUGGGUUUAUCACAUUGUUCGAAAUGUAUUAAAAUAUCUAACAUAUAAUUUUAAAAUUGAAGAGAGUUAAAAUUAUAGUAGAAUAAAAGAGAGAUGAAAUUGUGGUAAAAACUGACAUUGAAAGUGAUAAGUUAAUGAAGAUGACAAUGAAUUUUUGAAGAAGAAGGAAGAAAGAAAAAGAAAAAAAUAAUAAGGAGAAAAAGUUAAAAUAAUACGAAAAAUUAAAAAAUAUAUAUAUUUUAUAGUAAAAUUCUUGUAAAAAUAAAAUUAUAUUCGUUUUUUUAGUUUGUUCACGCUCUUUAAGAGAGCGCAUACACUUUCCGUGUCAGGUAAACAAAAAAUGAUGUAAUAAUAUCAAUUCAAAAAUAUUUAGGGAGGGUAAUAGGAUACUUGCUUAGUUUAGAUAUUUUUAUAAAAAUUCGAGACAACUUCAAGUAACAUUUUAUGUCUUUUCUCUAUAUGCUAAAAACCUUUUAAGUAGUAGUGUAUGGAUCACCAAUAUACCACUGACUUUAUAUAUAUAAUAUAAUAUGAAGUAUUUUGUAGAAGAGCCAUGAGUUUCACAAAUAUGUCCAGAAGUAGCAUAACAAAAAUAAGUAGAAUUAGUUAGAUUCGAAUGCACGAUUACUUCUUCAUUUCAAGAAGGUGAAAUCAUUAGGUUAUAAUUAUAAUUUUUUUAAUGUUAAGGAUGUUCAAAAUAUGCUAUUUAAUCAUUUCGUAUGUAUUUUACUUGUUUAUAUGAUAGUUAUUUCUGACGAAAAUCGGACACCCUUAUCACCACGUGACUACGCCACCGGAUGUAUCAAGCUUUAAACACACAGAAAAAUGAGAACUAUAUUUUCUGGUUUUCUGGUAAGAAAAAAAAUAUAUUUAUGUUAAUAUAAUGGCACGAUAGAUGGGCAAGCAGGAGGUCAAUGUAUAUGUUUAAUUUACAUGAUACAGAUGAAUUAGGAGAGCAAUUAAAAUUUAUAUGAUUUAAAAAUAUUAUAAGUUGUUUAUUAUUGUGAAUUAUAGUAUUUUUAAUUUAUGUGACACAUAUAAAAUUUUAAGAGUCAACAAAUUCUUUAAUAAGUUUUAAAAUAUAUUUCAAAUGGUUAAUUAUUAUAAUUUUUAAUAUUUUUUACGCCCUAAACCUACAUCCUAAAUGUAUCGGUACUCAAAAAUCAUCUUUGAUCCCAAAUGAACCUUUAAUCAUAAGCGAAAGACUUACUCUAACAACAGAAAUCUCAAAACAAGAUCAACUCAUAAGAAUAAGUGCUCAACUCUCAAUCUUCAAAACAUCAAGGACUGAGAAAAAGAAGUAAAAUAUUUUUUGGAAGAAUGAAAGGGUGGUUUAUGGGGAGGGGGUUGGAUAAUAAUUUAAUUUUUAUUUAUACGGUGAAUAUUUUAUCUAUGUGAAAUGUCAAAGUGUUAAGAUUUUUCAAAAUAAAAAAUAGAGUACAUUAUACACACCACCAAGGUGUUUUCUCAAACUAAUAAAUACUAGUUUAGCUACAAAACUAAAUAAAAAGAUAGUUUAAAUGUGUUUUUAAUGGGGGUGUGCAAAAAUCGAACCGACCGAUAAAUUGAACCAAAAAUAUGUUAUUGGGUUAUUGAGGUUUUAAUGGGUUUAUAAAAAAAAAUUAAUGGGUUAUUGGUUCGUUAUCAGUUUUUACUAUUGGGUUAUUGGGUAAAUUAAUAACCCAAUAAGACGGUAAUAAUUCACUAUUUUACUCUUCCUAAUUAUUAAAUAUUAAUAAUUUAAUAUAACUAAACACUAUAACUAUAUCAAAUUAUUAGUACUCUCUCCCCUUCACACUAGGCCGCUUUACUAGUUUUUAUUGUUUACUAAAAACCUAAAGACUAUAGUAAGGGUUCACUAUUGUAGCUAUUUGAUUUUAAUUUUAGUUUAGUAUUAUUGGACUAUUUGAUAUUAAUUUUAGUUUGUAAUUGUAGGUUGUAGCAUUUGCAAGUUUGUGAAGGUCCGUAAUUUGAUUAACAUAAAAAAUCUCGUACUAUAUUUUGGCGGUGACAUGUAAUUAUAGCCUUUGUACUAUAUUUAGAAAAGUGAGAAGUCAUAUAAUAUUUUACGAACAUUUUUGUUACUGGGUAAAUCGAAAAUCAAACGUAUAACUACCAAAAAACGAUAAAGAAUAUCUUAUUGAUUGGUUAUCGGGUUAGUGUUGACACCCAAUUUUGGACCUCCACCAUAUAAAUAAUCAAUUCGAGCUUCUUCGAUUUUAGACGAUUUAAAAUAAUUAGUUUAUAAAAUUGUAAGAAAAUUUCAAAGUUUGCACCUUAUUUUAAAUAGUUUUGUCGCUUUAUAUAUAUAUAUAUAUAUAUAUAUAUAUAUAUAUAUAUAUAUAUAUAUAUAUAUAUAUAUAUAUAUAUUACACAACUAUGUAUACAAUUAAUAUAUUUUUAUGAUUACUCAAAAAUCAUCUCAAAAAGAUUUUACUUUGUUUAAAUAUUUUACUAAUUAGUUUAGUUAUAUAAUAGUUUACAUUCUUGAAUUAGUUAUUCUAUAAUUAAGUCGAUUAAUUUAUUUAAUUAAAAUUAAGAAGCUCGUUAAUUAAUUAUACUAAUUCAUCGAGUUUAAUGUCAAUCAUUUCACCAUUCAAUUUCUAAUUGGUUUAAGUAUACAAUAUUUGGUUGCCAAAAGACCAAAUUUGGGCCUCCAUUUUGAAUUGAGCAACUUUCACAUAUAGCAAAUAAAAAAUUCAUAUUUGUAUGCUAUAGCAAAGUUUGCAUAAUUGCGUUCCAUAGCAAACAUAGAAACUGUAUAAUUCGCUAUAUAUAUACAGUUGAAGCAAAUUGUAUAAAUUGAAGUGUAUAAAACAAGAAAGAGAAAGACACUUGGAUAGAGAACUGUAUAAAAAUGAAGUGUAUAAAACGAAUUGUAUUAUUAUAAGUGUAUAGAACCAUUUUAUAAAAUUUGAAUUUGUAUAAAAUGAGAAAGAGAGAAAGACAAAAGAGACUUGACAAGGAAUAUACAAUUGAAUCGAAUUGUAUAAACGAGAAAGAGAGAAAGGCAAAAGAAACUGUGCAGGGUAGUAUUUUUAUUGUAUAAUUACAAGUGUAUAGGAUGAAAAUAUAUGUAUUUGCAUGUGUAUAUACAAUUUUCUCACGCUUUAUACAAACAGAAACACAAUUUAUGCAUUUUGCUUCUCUUUGUAUAAGUGAUAAAGGCGAGGGUGGCGAGCGAGAUCUGGAAGAGGGAAGAGAGGGGAACAAAAAUAUAUGUAUUUAUGCAAUUUUCUCUACUUUAUACAAUUAGAAACAAUUUUUAUACACUUGUGUUUGUAUAAAAAAUGAGGAAGCGAGUGAGAUACCGGAGGAGAGUGGCGAGCUUGAUAUUUGGGAGAGAGGCGCCGGGAAUUUUUUUACAAACGUUUGGUAUGGAGCACAAUUAAAUCAAACUCUAGCUACUAUAUUUAUUUUAGGUUAUUAGUUUGCUAUUAUAUACAAUUUUCCCUUUUAAAGAGCAUUUCAGCCCAAUCUUAAAUUACAUCAACCAAACCAGCCACUCCAACUUCCUUUUUAAAUAGUAUAAAUUUAAGGAAUUCCAUAGUGUAAUACAAUUAUUACAUUCUGUCCCGACAAAUUUAGUAUUUACUAAUAAUCCCUUAAAAUUGUUGUGGCGUGAUACAUUAGUAUGUUGUGAUAUAUGGUAAAUAAUAUAUAGUAAUUUAAAAUUGUUAAGAUUAAAAGGGGGUAAAAUGGAACAUUUAAAUUUGUUAUCUAAAUCAGCUUAAAUUACGGUAACAGUUCAUUAAUAAGCAUUAAUUCAACACGUAAUUGGAUAACAAUUUCAAAUUUUGAAAAUUCAAGAUUAUAUCAUCUAGUUUGAAGACAUUUUUAUGAACAUCCAGUUAUUAAACUUAUUGACUGAUACAUGAUAACAAUUUUCAAAAACUUUUGAUACAUAGGAAAUCAUAUGAUACACAUCAAAUUCAUGUAUCAAUGCAUCGUCUAAACACUAUAACACACUGAGUCGAUAUGUAUCAGCAAGCACACUUGAUGGCGCAGUUAUUAAGCUUAUUGACUGAUACAUGAUAACAAUUUUCAAAAACUCUUGAUACAUAGGAAAUCAUAUGAUACACAUCUAAUUCAUGUAUCAAUGCAUCGACUAACACACUAUAACACACCGAGUACUUAUGUAUUAAACUUAUUGUCUGAUAUAUGAUAACAAUUUUCAAAAAUUCAUGAUACAUAUGAGAUUCCUUUACUAAAAUUUUUACUAAUUUCAACAACAAUGGUUGCUGCUUCUUUUCUCUUUUUUGGGUGUAUUUUGUCAACCUUUGCUUUAGAUGAUUCGCCAAAAUCUUUGUUUGAAUCCUUCCGAACAUUCAUAGGAUCAUGCAAAGAUUUUUUUUUAUUUUCUUUCCAAUUUUCAUCGUCCGAAUCAUAAAUCCUUCUAUUAGUAAAAGGAUUCAUUAAUAUGAUGUAAUAGAACAAUGAACAGAAAUAAAAUAAAAAAAAGAACGGAUGAUGGAGUAAGAAGAAAAAGAAGACCUAGAGACGGCUGAUGUAAUAUAGAAAUGAACAAGAACAAAAAAAAGAACAGAUGAUGGAUUAAGAAGAAGAAAACUAUAGACGGAUGAUGGAGUAAGAAGAAGAAGAAGAACCAUAGAACAAUGGUCCAAUUUUCAGAAAUUUCAAAUUUUUUGAAUUUUGAAAUUCAAAAUUUCAUAUUAAAUGUUGUGAAAUGUUUUUAAUUAAAAUUAAUAAUUCAAAAUUCAGAAAGUGAUUCAUGAAUGUUUUAGUGGAGAAAAAAUAGGCAUGAUAUUGGGGAAGUGUGUGUUAUAGGAGAGAGAAGGCUAUGUAUCUCUAAACUUCUACUAAAAAAAGAAAAUUAUGUAAUAUUUAUAAAAAGAAGGGAAAAUUAGAGAAUACUAAACUUAUAGUUGUGUAUUUAAGUUAUUUUUCCUUUUAAAUAUACCGGCCCAACUUUAUUAUUCCCAAAUGGAAAAAUUACAUAAAUUAAUAUAUUUUAAAAAAUAAUUACUGAUUUUAGUGAUACUUUUUGUUUAUUACCAUUUAUAGCAAUGCUUUGUUAAAUCUAUAAUAUGUAUUAAAAGUGAAUUAUGUAUGCAAUAUAUAUGAAUUAUAAUUGUUUUUUGAAAUAAAUCAUGUUUGUUUGAUAAAAAAUUAUCACAUUGUAUUUUAAGUGUAUUAAAGUGUGUGAUAAAUUUAUUAUUCAUCAUUAAAAUUUGUAUUAUAUGUGAAUAAUAAAUUGUUCUUUGUAAUAUGUAUUAAACUUGUAUUAUAAAUGAAUUAAAAGUGAUCAAGUGAGGUAAAAAUAUUAUUGCUAUAAAUGAUAAAUAUUUUUUAUUAUAGUAUAUUUAUAUAAGUUUCCCUUCCCAGAUUUACCCCAACCCGGCCCAAUUCUAUCUUUAACAAGAGAACCCAGUAGUGUUCCAAACCGUAAGCCGACAAAAGUUCCAAGCACCAAAGUUUACGGACGGAAAACCAUUACACAACGCCUUCACGCCUAACUUCAAUGGUAAAAGCAGCGCGUGGAGGGCACCAAGAACAAAUAGUUAUUUAGUUUGUGGUUCGAUAUUGUAAUACUUCUGUUCAACUGAUUUGAGAUUUAUUUCUUGAUGGUCGCAAGUCAUUAGAAUUUUGAAAUGUUUUUGAUUUGGUGUCGGCUGGAAAUCAGUGGUGCAACUUGAAAUAUUGUUGUCUCAUUUGUAUGAAGUUUUAGGUCUUCCUGCCUAUAUUGCUGAUGCUCCUGAUUUUGACAUAUUGAAAUCGCUAUAUUUGUGUUUUGUAGUGUUGUUGUUGUUGUUGUUGUUUCAUUAAGUCGCCAGAGAUAUCACACCCUUUUUCUGCGCGUGGCGUAAGACGGUAAGGGUUUUUCCAAUUUAAGUGACGUUAUUGAUUAGGGAAUUAUUUUAUUUUUCAGCGUCGCCACUUGGAUUUAAGUUAUGGCAAGUCAACUUUUCUUUUAAUCCCUAACCAAAAGGAAAUAACUCUUUAUUUUGGUCCGUGGACCAGAAAUUUAGGUAAGGAAUCCUGUUGAAUGAGGAGAAGGUAUUAGGCAUCCUUCGAGUCCCGUGGUUCUAGCACGAUCACUUUUAUUGACUUAUAUUUAUUUUAAAAUAUUUUUGGAUAUAUUAUUUUUAGGUAUUGACUUGUUUGCAUUUUUAUUCUUGAACUUUUAUUUAGUCUCAAAUCAGAUGCAUAACUGCAUUCUCGACUUUGACAUUUGGAGACAUAAUUGUCUUCAUCUCUCAAGUUCCUCCCACCUAAUAAUUGUCUAUAAGUGUCACUCUAAAUAUUUAUAUUUAUAAACAAGGUGCGUCACCGCAUCCUUGAAUUUUUAAUGUCUCAAAAAGAUGCGUAACCACAUUCUUGAUUGAAAUAAAUAUUUAUUAAUAUGUCGAAAAAUAAUUUAUUUUAUUUUAUUUAUUUAUUUAUUUAUUUAUUGGUCUAGAUAUACCUACUUUAUCAUUAUUAUUUAAAUCAAGAAAAGCUGUAGCUAUAGUGAAAUCAACGUAGUACAAAAUUGAAAAUUGGAUUUCAUUAAGUAAAAAGAUAGAAGGGUUUAACAACAACACAAACUAAUUAAAUUUUAGCUUACAACCUUGAAAUAAUAAUAAUAAUAAUAAUAAUAAUAAUAAUAAUAAAACAAUACUACGACAAGAAUCAUCAACCACAUACAUAAUAAGAGAGAAUAGACAAACAAAAAUUUCAAUACAACCCUGAAAUAACUAUAGAUAAUAGAAAUUUGGAUAUUCAUUAAACUAUAUAUAGUGAAUAUCCUGAUACUAUAUUGCCUAAUUCUCGUUUCUAGGUACAUCAUCUAUAACAAACACGCCUAUUGAAACCCUUCAUGGAGGCGUAUAUUGGUGCUCAAUCCUUUUAUAACGAGGCGUAUAUAAGUGCUCAAUCCUUUGGUUUUGUGAUCCGCCAUGAGAUAUAGAGCAAGUCUUUUUCUAUUAAACUUAUUUCUUUUAUUGUAUUUUUUUGGGGGCCGGGGGGUGGGGGGGGGGGGAGGUGGACUUGAUAUACUCCUUAACUUUGUGAUUUAGAGUUGAUAUAUCCUCGUUAAAAAAGUGGGUUACAUGUACUCAUAUUAUUAUAUAAAUAAUGUCUUCAAAUAUACCAUUUUGUUCUAACGGGAGUGAAAACAAAUAGUUUUUUAAAUGCAUUUUUUUAUUUAUUUUUAAGAAGUAAAAUUUGAAUAUAUAAUCUUAGAACUUUUCUAGAAAAUAUACUCGUAUAUUGAUAUUUUAGUGUGUUUUUAAAAAAAAAAUUAAAACAAUAUUUCACUUCCAUUAGAUGAAAAGGUUAUAUGUGAACCACUUUUAUAAUGGUAAGACUAUAUAUGAACCACUUUGAAUUUAAAUGUGCAUUAUUUUAUAAUGAGCGACAUAUAAAUUCUAAUAAAUUAUAAAGUAGAAGAGUAUAUCAAGACCUUUUAUGGACUUUGGUAUUUAGAGAUUUUGUUAAUUAAAGUAGAGGAGUCGUAUAUAUAGGUGAAUAUUGAUAUGCUGCAACAUGUGUUAUUUAUUUUAAUGUGUGUAUUAUUGAGUAGUUAAACGUGUUGGGAGCCGUGCGUGCAUAUAUGCAUUUCAUGACAUAUAUAAUAAUAAUAGAGUGAAAAGAAGAAGAAGGCAGAAAUGAAUUGAAAAUAAAGGAAGUAGUUAAAAUAUUAUCCAAUCUCACCAUUUAUUUAUUAUAAAAUAUUAGAUACGAUACAUAAUUAAUUAAGAGAUGGAUGAGGUUAUAUAUAUAUAUAUACACACUCACUUCAUUUAUUUAGGUGUGUGUGAGUAUAUCAAGACUUUUUACGGACUUACAUAUUUAGAUAUUUUAGAGAUUCUGUUAAUUAAAGUAGAAGAGUAGGUGAAUAUUGGUAUGUUGAAAACAUGUGUUAUUUAUACUCAUGAAUAGAAUAAUUAAGUAGUAUAUAAUUGUUGUUGUUCAUCUUGUAUUCCAAACAUACUUAGAACAAAACUUUGAACAUCUUUGUAAGAAAACAAAGUUUAAGAACAUUUUCACAACUAGAAAAUUAAAACUAGUAGCGAAACUAGAAUCAGAAACAGAUUUUUUUAAAAAAAUAUACGAAAUAUUUUUCUUAAAGAGGAAUUGUUGUUAAUAUGUGUCUAAAUAAUCUUACUGAUUCCAACAAACUUUGCAGAAACACGAAGUUACCAAGUUUAAUGAACCAGUGAAGAACAGAAGAAUAGAAGAACUGAAAUUAAUUGACAAAUCUAAAAUUUGUAAAAGACGUACCAGAAUCUGAAAAUUUUUAAUAGGAAAAAGAUCAAGUCCACUGAAUUCACAGUGUCCCCUUAAGGAAAUUAUUAGUUAAACGUGUUGGGAGCCGUGCAUGCAUAUAUAUAUACAUUUCAUGACAUAUAUAAUAAUAAUAAUAAUAUUAUUAUUCAAUCUCACCAUUUAUUUAAUAUAAUAUUACAUGAUAAUUAAGAGGGCACUUCAUUUAUUUAGGUGUGUGUGAGUGAUGAUGGAGUAGUCCUAGGUAAUAGUGACGGUUGCUAGAGAUGUAAGUAUCCCAAAAAUUGCUGCCAAAGUUUGACCAACCACAUUCUCAAGUAAGUUUCCAAUAAGGAUAACAGGAGCUACAAGGGUUCCUGUGGUUGGAGUCAAAGUGCAAUUAGCAAUUGGGAGAGGAAUCCUUGCAAUACAUGUUCCUGACAAAAGACUUGUAUUGGUGGACACUGCAGCAUUAAUAAUGCCUUGACUAUUUGUGGACACUUGAGCAAUCGUUGUGUUGCCACAAAUAAUCGUUACAUUUGCUCCACUCACUCCGACGCCUGGGGCAUUACUUCCCGGUACGGAGCAAGACAAACUCCCCAAUAUACUUAAAUUAACAACACGAUCAACAACAGGUGGUACAAUCGGUGGUACUUGACCACCAACAGGUGGUACAAUCGGUGGUACUUGACCAACAACAGGUGGUACAAUCGGUUGGCCAAGAAUAGGACUAAGAAUGGGACCGACAAUUGGACUGAGAAUAGAACCAACAAUCGGUAAUUGGCCAAGACCAACAGGUGGUACUUGACCAACGGGUGGUACAAUACGUGGUGCAGGUUGCCCCAAAAUGGGACCCAAAAUGGGACGAACAAUGAGACCCAAACCUUGAGCAUGAGCUAGAGGACUGAUGGUGAUGAUGGAAAGUAGAACAACAAGGGAAACAACACACAUUUUUGAAGACAUGAUGAUUUGAUAAUAUUUUUUUCUGUUCAAUAUCCCCUUUUUAUAGUGCUCCUUUUUAUUUACU